rnacentral:rRNA from 1 species
GACGAACGCUGGCGGCGUGCUUAACACAUGCAAGUCGAACGGAAGGGCCCUGCUUGCCGGGUACUCGAGUGGCGAACGGGUGAGUAACACGUGGGUGAUCUGCCCUGCACUUCGGGAUAAGCCUGGGAAACUGGGUCUAAUACCGGAUAGGAGCCAUUUUUAGUGUGAUGGUUGGAAAGUUUUUUCGGUGUAGGAUGAGCUCGCGGCCUAUCAGCUUGUUGGUGGGGUAAUGGCCUACCAAGGCGGCGACGGGUAGCCGGCCUGAGAGGGUGGACGGCCACAUUUGGGCCGAGGGAAGGCCCCGACCCCCUACGGAGGGAGGCAGUGGGAAUAUUGCACAAUGGGCGCAAGCCUGAUGCAGCGACGCCGCGGGGGGGAUGACGGCCUUCGGGUUGUAAACUCCUUUCGCUAGGGACGAAGCUUUUUGUGACGGUACCUAGAUAAGAAGCACCGGCUAACUACGUG